UAAGUCUGAACAACAUGUCUCAGUCUUUUGAAAGUAAGCUAUGAAAGACAUCAACAGUUAAAGUUCAUGCAAACUUUAGAAUACAAAAACAGAAAAGGGUUUUGAAAGAAAAAUGCAGUCAUUUGACUGCAGCCAUGCUGGAGUACCACCUUUAAUUGAACAAAUUGACCCCAGGAUUUAUUCUUUGUACAAGCGUAGCUGUAUGGUAUAAGUUUGCUGCCCAGCCACAAGAUUCCAGGUUCAGUCUCACUGCAUAGCAACUUGGGCAAGUGUCUUCUACUAUAGCUUCAGGCUGACCAAAGCCUUGUGAGUGAAUUUGAGAGACAGAACUUGAAAGAAGCCAGUCAUAACUCAGAUGCACAACUCAUCAGAAAAAGCAAGAAGAGCUGCAUGAACAGUACACAGAAUAUGCACAGGAAGUGAACAGUGAAUAAGCCUUUACAGAAAAAGCUAAAAGUGAAACGUUGGAAGUGUGUAGCUUUUUGAAAGUGGUGAGGUGAUGGGUAAAAUUCUUGAAGCUUUGUACUUUCUGUUUUUUCUCCAUGGAUUACCAAGAAAAAAAAUUUGAAAAAAAGUAAAAAAUUAAUUUGGUGUGGAGAGGGAGAAAAUUAAAAUAUUGAGAACGUGUUCUGUGGGUGAAAUCCUAAUCUCCGGUAUCGCAAACAUAAGAAUCAGAAAAAAAAAUAAGGUGGGAGACGGAAAAGUCACCUCAGAUAUGCUAGAAAGAAGAGGUAAAGGAUGGGAUUUCUGGGAAAACUUCCUUUUAAGUUUAUAUCAAAGAUCAGGUUUUUAAAUAUGCUCAUCACAAACACAAAUUACACAACAGAAAAAGAUCAUUUCAAUUGGAUUUGAGCUGCAAAUUUGCACAUGCACACUGCAAUAAUUAGCAUAAUUCACACAGAAGUUUUACCUAGAGUGUGUGUAUGCAUGUGUGUUUGUCAAAGGAAGUUAUUGUAUGGCAGUUUUUCAUUUGAAGAAGCAAAGUUGUCAACUCAACAUAUAUGGAAUCAUAUGGUUGUUUGUUAAUUUCUGUAAAAUUGUUUUAUUUUCUGUAUGUUUGAAGAGAGCAGAAAUUGAAAGAGAGGAUAAAGUGAAAAGGCAACAUUUGCUUUGAAGUGAGAGGAGAAAGUAAGACAGAGGAGAAAGUAAAACAGAGGAGAAAGGAAAACAGAGGAGAAAGGAAAACAGAGGAGAAAGGAAAACAGAGGAGAAAGUGUAAGAUGUGCAUGUGUAUGAAAUGAACAUGUGUGUGUGUGUGAGAGAGAGAUAGAGAGAGAGUGAGUGAAGGUGUGUGUUGUGAUGUAUGAAAUUUUUUGCAUGUAUGUGCAAGUGGCACUCACUCACUCUCUCUCACACACAUUAUCUUUGAUAUGCACGUACAUAAAUUGGCAGAGGUAAAGAAUACACACACCACCUGUUUUUGGCGUAACCCUAACCCUAAACAUUGAGAGUGCGUAUUCUUGACCUUCGCCCAUAAAUACAUAUACAUACAUCUUUUUUGUGUGUGAGAGUGAG